GUAUCAAUGAUAACAAUAAGUCUCUGAGGACAUUAAUUGACUCAUACAAAUUGCAAUCUGAGGUCC